rnacentral:rRNA from 1 species
AGAUUGAACGCUGGCGGCAGGCCUAACACAUGCAAGUCGAGCGGCAGCACGGGUACUUGUACCUGGUGGCGAGCGGCGGACGGGUGAGUAAUGCCUAGGAAUCUGCCUGGUAGUGGGGGAUAACGCUCGGAAACGGACGCUAAUACCGCAUACGUCCUACGGGAGAAAGCGAGGGGACCUUCGGGCCUUGCGCUAUCAGAUGAGCCUAGGUCGGAUUAGCUAGUUGGUGGGGCAAGUGGCUCACCGAAGGCGGCGAUCCGUAACUGGUCUGAGAGGAUGAUCAGUCAC